GAUUCAUAAUAACUUAACGAAUCGCAUGGCCUUGCGCCGGCGAUGGUUCAUUCAAAUUUCUGCCCUAUCAACUUUCGAUGGUAAGAUAGUGGCUUACCAUGGUCUCAACGGGUAACGGGGAAUUAGGGUUCUAUUCCGGAGAGGGAGCCUGAGAAACGGCUACCACAUCCAAGGAAGGCAGCAGGCGCGCAAAUUACCCAAUCCCAAUUCGGGGAGGUAGUGACAAUAAAUACUGAUACGGGGCUCUUUCGGGUCUCGUAAUUGGAAUGAGUACAAUCUAAAUCCCUUAACGAGGAACAAUUGGAGGGCAAGUCUGGUGCCAGCAGCCGCGGUAAUUCCAGCUCCAAUAGCGUAUAUUAAAGUUGUUGCCGUUAAAAAGCUCGUAGUUGAACCUUGGACCUGGCUGAUCUGUCCUCCUAAUCGAGCGCACGGAUUCGGUCGGGUCUUUCCUUCUGGGGAGCCCUAUGCCCUUCACUGGGUGUAGUGGGGAACCAGGACUUUUAC
rnacentral:rRNA from 1 species